UCCAAGGCAGUCAGGCAAGGCAGGGACACCCCCCAGGCUGGGGACCAGACGGUGCUGAAGUGGUCCCCACAGUGCUCCUCAGGAAGGCAGUCUCUGACUCUCCACCCCAGGGCGCUCCCAAGGAGGUGAGAGGGGCAGCGCGCAGACCGGAGGGACAGGUGGAUACCCAGGCAUGAUACUGGGGGCCUUGGUGGGACCUUCCCUCCAGGGCAUAAUGUGACGCCCAGACUCUCUGUCUCUCCCCCUCAAGCCUCAGAUUCCCUGGAGAGGACGUCUGACUGGCCUGGUGGAUCCAGGGCCUGGGCAGCCAGGCCUGGCUUCUAGAAGUGGGGGGCUCCGUGCAGACUCCAGCCUGCCGGGCUCCCCUGCGCUCAGGAAGGCCGGCGCGGGCCAGGUGCAGGGCUCGGGAGCGGAAAAGAAGGUUCUGCUGAAGCCGGCAAGGAAGAGUCGGGCUUUACCAGGUCAGCCUGACCAGCAGGCGAAGACUAAGCCUCCUCUGAGCUGUGAAAGAAGCUGUGUGGUCCCAAUGCUCCCAGGAAGGACAGCUGUGCUCCGAGUGUCCCCGCCCCUCCCCUCCCCCGCAGUGGAUACCAAAGCUUGGGGCUUCUGAAUCUUCUUGUCCAAAUUUGCAGAUGUGUCACAGAAGCAGACACUCAGACUGAGUUGUCCUGGAGAGGGUGCAGAGGGAAAUGAUCAUGUUGGGUGCCAUUUAGUUGGGCACUGGGUUGUCAGUACUGGUUAAGACACAGUCCUUGCCUCAAGUUUCUCGUAGACUGGAGGGAAGGCAGAAGGCAGACGCUACAACAAAAUCAGCCCUACGGUUAAGAAAUUGAAUCUGUGGGACAAAGUACAACUCAAGCCCCAAAGAGGAAAUGGACCGAAAAAGUGAACUGGUCAGAUGUCACCACAGUGCUGUGUAACAAACGACCCCAUCGUUCAGUGGCUUGCCUUGUGAGCACUUACUUCUGACUCCCACAUCUGCAGAUUGCCUGGGGCAGCCCUGCCAACUUCAGCUGGGCAGCUCGAUUGGCUCCUGGGCGGGGAUUUGGUUGAAGUCUGCCUUGUCUCAUUCUUUUGGACCUAGUGGGCAAUGCCGGGUGGGCAGUGCAGGGGGAAACCAUGCCCAUGGCAAUGACAGCAGCCCAAGUAGUGGGUAUGCUGUUCCAUCAAGCCCAUGUCAAGGCUUUGCACCGGGCCUGGUCUCCAAGCAUCUUGUUGACCAAAGGGGGCUGGAGGUAUACUCUUCCCACAGCAGGAGUGGAGGGAAGUGCAUCUUUGCCAAAUGAUGAUCCAAGCUUCACAGAAGGCUGCAUGGAGGAGGUGUCAUUUGUCCUAGGCCUUGAAGAAGAAGCUGGAUUUUCCCAAGUGAAGAGUCUGAAACUUCAGCCAUGUGUUAAGUUCAAGACCUAGUUUUCGACAUGGAGUCACAAUGGAAAGUGUAGUGGCCGUCCCCAACGGGAAAAUUGUGCCAGUCCCCCUCGGCAUAAAUCAGCCAAUGUUAUGGUCCCCUAUCCCCAUUAUGGAGCUCAGGUCUCCAGUCCUGAAGCCUGAAGCCUGAACCAACAUAGCCCUCUCAGGGAAGGGACUCCUCGAAGGCCAAGUCCAGACAGCAGGAGGAGCACCACAAUAAAGCGAACUCAGCAGCGGGACUGGGAAGGCCAUUUGGAAAGGGCUGGCAGGGAGCAGAGGACCCCUGCGCACACGGAACUGCGCCAGACAAUGGUGGGAAGGAUGGUUACAGGACAGGAUGCAAACAGCACAAACCUUGACCAUGUAAAAAUAAGAAGUCACAGCUUCUGGGAGGGGAAGGAGAUAGGAAGUGGGUGAGCUCAUUUCCUCCUCCUAAAUCCCAGGCUGUCGAGAGAUGCCAUCUACAGGGAAAUGUGCUUCAAGAAAGGAAUCCAGCCUCUUGGUAUUUUUCUUCCCUUUUAGGGAAAUAAUUUAGAAACAUAAGGAGCACAAUUAUUUGCGGUCCGGCCAUUUCUUUGGUUACAUGUAGGCUUCCUUUCCUUCUGUGAAAUUCAAAUACUUUUCCCAGAAGAGCAUGUAUUGUACAAGAGCCCUUUACAGAAACCUUUCUCGUUCCAUCUACCUGGCCUACUCUCCGAAGAUGGACGUAGAAAGGGGUCCCCGUCAGCAUUGCUGGGGGUGCUGGUUUUGGCACCUCCUGGACGUUUUCUGUGUGUACUCCUCAGUGUGACGUGAGUUUCUUAUAGUGAGCGGGCAUGGCUAAUAUACAAACCAAACCUUAAAAAAUACAACACAUUUCUGGAAAAGAGACAAUCCCACAAUGGGGGUGGGGAUACCCUCCGAGCUCCCCAAGGGGCCACCUCUCCGUGUCUUCCCCUCCACGGGGGCCGGGGACUUCCUGAGCUCCGCAGGCACCAGCCACAGGGAGGUCCUCGCCCGGGGCUCAGAGCAGGUGACUAAGCCUCCCCAGGGCUGCGUCUUCCACUGUAAACCUAGGAAGUCACCCUUGCCUUGCCUCACUCUCAGGUGGCGGUGAGGGACACUUGAAAUGCAGGGCCUGUCCUCCGUGGCUAAAGGGCAAAGGGACAGACUUCUUAGCGUCUUGUUCAGCAGGGGAUCCAGCUGGAACCAGGUCUGAGGGCUGCCUGUAGGUCGGUCAGGGGGCUCUCUGCAGCUGUUUCUGGGUCGGAACAGCCACUCUCACGGUCUCAGCUCCAUCUAGUGUCCACACUGGGACACGGUCACUUGCGACAGACUUACCCUCAUUUCUACACUUGCGAAGGUACAGCAUUCAUUGGGCAAACAGAAUGUACAUAAGAUCAAUUUAAAUCAUUCCUCCCUGUGCUGAGAUUUGGUAUUCCAAAGCAAGCUUUAUACAAGUUCAGUACUACUAAAGGUUUGUGCCUCCGGUCUUUGGAAGGAUAGCACAUUCAUGCAACAAAUAAUACUUACAAUAAUUGACAUUUAUUGAAUGUUUACCAUGUGCUGGGCACCAUUCUGGGUCCUUUAAUUGUGUGAGUUCAUUGUGGUGGUGGGGUGCUUACUGUUCCAUUUUAUAGAUAGGAACACUGAGGCACACAGGUAACAGUAAAAUUCAUCACUCUUGAUUUGUGAGGGCAGGUAGAGGCCAUGUCAUGGGGCUGGAGAUGAGGACGCAGCCCGAUGGGAAGCUCCUCCAGGUUGAGUAGAGAGGAAACGGGGGCUGAGACAGCCCUGGGACUUGGGCUAGGUCCGAGAGGUGAGGGGGCAGGAGGGUGUGGGACGGCUCACGUCCAGCAUUCGUGUCAGGAAGGAGGCUGUAGUGUGAGACGGAGCACGCAGGGGUGGGCAGUUAGAGAAUGUUUGCUGAGCACCCAAGUGCCAGGCAAGGCUCCUGUCCUCGCAGGCCAGAGCCUCGUGCGGGAAGGUGGUAUCAAAGGCCGAUUCUGAGUGCUUGCUGGUGCGCAGACAUCCACGAAGGACAAGGGCAGCC